rnacentral:rRNA from 1 species
AGUGAACGCUGGCGGUAGGCCUAACACAUGCAAGUCGAACGGCAGCACAGUAAGAGCUUGCUCUUACGGGUGGCGAGUGGCGGACGGGUGAGGAAUACAUCGGAAUCUACUUUUUCGUGGGGGAUAACGUAGGGAAACUUACGCUAAUACCGCAUACGACCUACGGGUGAAAGCAGGGGAUCUUCGGACCUUGCGCGAUUGAAUGAGCCGAUGUCGGAUUAGCUAGUUGGCGGGGUAAAGGCCCACCAAGGCGACGAUCCGUAGCUGGUCUGAGAGGAUGAUCAGCCACACUGGAACUGAGACACGGUCCAGACUCCUACGGGAGGCAGCAGUGGGGGAUAUUGGACAAUGGGCGCAAGCCUGAUCCAGCCAUACCGCGUGGGUAAAGAAGGCCUUCGGGUUGUAAAGCCCUUUUGUUGGGAAAGAAAAGCAGCAGGUUAAUACCCCGCUGUUCUGACGGUACCCAAAGAAUAAGCACCGGCUAACUUCGUG